UACAGAGGGUGCGAGCGUUAAUCGGAAUUACUGGGCGUAAAGCGAGCGUAGGUGGCUUGAUAAGUCAGAUGUGAAAGCCCCGGGCUUAACCUGGGAACGGCAUCUGAAACUGUCAGGCUAGAGUAGGUGAGAGGAAGGUAGAAUUCCAGGUGUAGCGGUGAAAUGCGUAGAGAUCUGGAGGAAUACCGAUGGCGAAGGCAGCCUUCUGGCAUCAUACUGACACUGAGGUUCGAAAGCGUGGGUAGCAAACAGG
rnacentral:rRNA from 1 species